UGCAGGUCGAAUUGCUUGAGCAGUAAAUGCUGAGGUUUUUCUGUGUCUUGUCCAGUCUGAUUCAUAUUCCAUACCAGAAAUUCUGCUCUUAUAGUAGUUCCUUUUGGUUGUUUUAUGCAGGGUGUUCCAUAAGCCUCUAAAAUUGUCUCUUGCUCCACACAUUGCCCAAAUUUCAGUGAAGGCCAUAGAACUUAGCAAGUCUCAGCCGCCAGUGGCUUCCAUCUUUAUUGGAG
rnacentral:misc_RNA from 1 species